UUUCUUUCUAAAACAAGGAAGGAAGAAAGAAAAUCGUCAAAACCAUCUUUUUCUCAGAUAGUCUAACCAAAGGUUUAGACUUUGGACUACGUUACAAAAACUUGCUGGGAAUCUUGGCCCCUUCGUGAAGGUCGCGGGUUAAAAGGUUUGGGCUUUGUCACUGUGAAUGCACAGGCUUGCAUCUGCAACAGAGUUUAUGGCUAUGGAGGUUGAUUCUGAGAAACAACCGAUUAA